rnacentral:rRNA from 1 species
CCCUUAGAUGUUCUGGGCUGCACGCGCGCUACACUGAUGCACUCAACGAGUUUACGACCUUGCCCGAUGGGGUUGGGUAAUCUUUUUAAAAUGCAUCGUGAUGGGGAUAGAUUAUUGCAAUUAUUAAUCUUCAACGAGGAAUUCCUAGUAAGCGCGAGUCAUCAGCUCGUGCUGAUUACGUCCCUGCCCUUUGUACACACCGCCCGUCGCUCCUACCGAUUGAGUGCUCAGGUGAAUAAUUCGGACUGCAGCAAUGUUUGGAUCCCGAACGUUGCAGCGGAAAGUUUAGUGAACCUUAUCACUUAGAGGAAGGAGAAGUCGUAACA